rnacentral:tRNA from 1 species
UAAACAAUAGUGUUAAUGAGCACUUAGAACUUUGAAAUCUAAAGAAAUAGGGUACUAUUUUGUUUAA